rnacentral:rRNA from 1 species
UACAGAGGUCUCGAGCGUUGUUCGGAUUCAUUGGGCGUAAAGGGUGCGUAGGUGGCGCUGUAAGUCAGGUGUGAAAUUUCGGAGCUUAACUCCGAAACUGCAUUUGAUACUGCGGUGCUUGAGGACUGGAGAGGAGACUGGAAUUUACGGUGUAGCAGUGAAAUGCGUAGAGAUCGUAAGGAAGACCAGUGGCGAAGGCGGGUCUCUGGACAGUUCCUGACACUGAGGCACGAAGGCCAGGGGAGCAAACGGG